GGCUCCACCCCCAUGAAUCUAGGGGUGCUCAAUGUCAUCACAAGGGUCCUUAAGAGGGAAAGAGGAAGCCAUGAGGGUCAGAGUCAAAGGAAGACUUGAAGAUACUACACUGAGGACUUUAAAGAUGAAGGAAGGGGCGAAAACCAAGAAUGUGGGAAGCCUCUAGAAGCUAGAGAAGGCAAGGAAACAGAUUUUCCACUAGAGCCUCCAGAAGGAACACAGCCCUGCUGACCCACUGUAAUGUCUGACCUCUAGAUGUGUAAGGGUAGUAAGACUGAAAGUCUCAGAAAGGCACUGUUACAUUCUUAUUCCACAACCAUGCAACUCAAAACUGGGGUCCUCAGCAAUGAGCGAGGGGCGAGAGAAGGCACUGUAUAAACAUGGCACAUCCUCCUGGAAAGUCAACUUUACUCAAAGGUUCUUACACACAGUGACAGCUAGCAGAGUCUAAAGUGCUGACAUUAUGACUUAGAGAUGUGAUAAAGAGAAACAUCUAUUGCAUUUUCUGCUGGAGUACAGUGGUGCAAUCUCGGCUCACUUCAACCUCUGCCUCCUAAGUUAAAGCUGUUCUUGUGCCUCAGCCUCCCAAGUAGCUGGGACUACAGAUGGAGUCUCGCUCUGUCACCCAGGCUGGAGUGUAGUGGUACCAAAAGCUUUUACUUCACUGGGGAGAUUUUUCACAUGGGAGGAAAAGGACAAGUGGACUAUCACCUAUGUGGUCAGCUUACAACCUGAAUUUCUUGGAAAUGACCUAAUUUAAUUAUCUUCAUGGAUCUCCUUUGCUCUUUGAAUGAAGAGUAGUCAGCUAUUUUUUUGUGUGUGUGUGUGUUCUGAAUGAGGCUCUUGAGUGUCAGUUGCCAUUUUAAUGAAGUAGUGAUUUGGGCCCUUUCCUGAGAAUACAAGAGUUCAGGUGUCAUGCUAGUUGGCUUGGCCCCUCUUAUUCUUCCAGUAUCCCUGAUAGGUCAGAUCAGAGUGAUUCUGGAGGGAAAGUAUGUUUCACUGUGGAUAUGUACAAUGGCAAUUCCCAGUUCUGGAAUUUAACUUAAUUCAAUUAUUCACAUGAUGAGCAGCAUCCACACACUCCUGGUAAAAUUUGAUAAAAUGCUGUAGCAUCAAGAUGCUUUUGUAGAGACCUCUCUGCCAUUACCUGUUUUCUUGACUGGCAUUAAUCUCUACCAAAGCUAGAGACUUGAGCAUCAUCCUGAAUUCAGAGUCAUAAUCUGACAGCUACAGGUCAAAGUUGGCCCAAUGAUGUGUUGUUGGGAGUACCUUGAGCUUCAAAAAAAUAAAUAAAAGUAAUUUUCAACCCUG
rnacentral:lncRNA from 1 species